rnacentral:rRNA from 1 species
AGUGAACGCUGGCGGUAGGCCUAACACAUGCAAGUCGAACGGCAGCACAGUAAGAGCUUGCUCUUACGGGUGGCGAGUGGCGGACGGGUGAGGAAUACAUCGGAAUCUACUUUUUCGUGGGGGAUAACGUAGGGAAACUUACGCUAAUACCGCAUACGACCUACGGGUGAAAGCAGUGGAUCUUCGGACCUUGCGCGUUUGAAUGAGCCGAUGUCGGAUUAGCUAGUUGGCGGGGUAAAGGCCCACCAAGGCGACGAUCCGUAGCUGGUCUGAGAGGAUGAACAGCCACACUGGAACUGAGACACGGUCCAGACUCCUACGGGAGGCAGCAGUGGGGAAUAUUGGACAAUGGGCGCAAGCCUGAUCCAGCCAUACCGCGUGGGUGAAGAAGGCCUUCGGGUUGUAAAGCCCUUUUGUUGGGAAAGAAAAGCAGCAGGUUAAUACCCCGCUGUUCUGACGGUACCCAAAGAAUAAGCACCGGCUAACUUCGUG